rnacentral:rRNA from 2 species
GAGUUUGAUCAUGGCUCAGGACGAACGCUGGCGGCGUGCUUAACACAUGCAAGUCGAGCGGUAAGGCCCUUCGGGGUACACGAGCGGCGAACGGGUGAGUAACACGUGGGUGAUCUGCCCUGCACUUCGGGAUAAGCCUGGGAAACUGGGUCUAAUACCGGAUAUGACCUUCGGCUGCAUGGCUGAGGGUGGAAAGGUUUACUGGUGCAGGAUGAGCCCGCGGCCUAUCAGCUUGUUGGUGGGGUAAUGGCCUACCAAGGCGACGACGGGUAGCCGACCUGAGAGGGUGACCGGCCACACUGGGACUGAGACACGGCCCAGACUCCUACGGGAGGCAGCAGUGGGGAAUAUUGCACAAUGGGCGAAAGCCUGAUGCAGCGACGCCGCGUGAGGGAUGACGGCCUUCGGGUUGUAAACCUCUUUCAGCAGGGACGAAGCGAAAGUGACGGUACUUGCAGAAGAAGCACCGGCCUAACUACGU